UACGUAGGGGGCUAGCGUUGUCCGGAAUCAUUGGGCGUAAAGCGCGUGUAGGCGGUUCGGUAAGUCCGCUGUGAAAGUCGGGGGCUCAACCCUCGGAUGCCGGUGGAUACUGUCGGACUAGAGUACGGAAGAGGCGAGUGGAAUUCCUGGUGUAGCGGGUGAAAUGCGCAGAUAUCAGGAGGAACACCAAUUGCGAAGGCAGCUCGCUGGGACGUUACUGACGCUGAGACGCGAAAGCGUGGGGAGCAAACAGG
rnacentral:rRNA from 1 species